CGGGGCGUAGCUCAGUCUGGUGGUAGCGCGCGCUUUGGGGGCGCGAGGUCCCCGGUUCGAAUCCGGGCGCCCCGA
rnacentral:tRNA from 1 species